AUUGAACGCUGGCGGCAGGCCUAACACAUGCAAGUCGAGCGGUAGAGAGAAGCUUGCUUCUCUUGAGAGCGGCGGACGGGUGAGUAAUACCUAGGAAUCUGCCUGAUAGUGGGGGAUAACGUUCGGAAACGGACGCUAAUACCGCAUACGUCCUACGGGAGAAAGCAGGGGACCUUCGGGCCUUGCGCUAUCAGAUGAGCCUAGGUCGGAUUAGCUAGUUGGUGAGGUAAUGGCUCACCAAGGCUACGAUCCGUAACUGGUCUGAGAGGAUGAUCAGUCACACUGGAACUGAGACACGGUCCAGACUCCUACGGGAGGCAGCAGUGGGGAAUAUUGGACAAUGGGCGAAAGCCUGAUCCAGCCAUGCCGCGUGUGUGAAGAAGGUCUUCGGAUUGUAAAGCACUUUAAGUUGGGAGGAAGGACAGUAAAUUAAUACUUUGCUGUUUUGACGUUACCGACAGAAUAAGCACCGGCUAACUCUGUGCCAGCAGCCGCGGUAAUACAGAGGGUGCAAGCGUUAAUCGGAAUUACUGGGCGUAAAGCGCGCGUAGGUGGUUUGUUAAGUUGAAUGUGAAAUCCCCGGGCUCAACCUGGGAACUGCAUCCAAAACUGGCAAGCUAGAGUAUGGUAGAGGGUAGUGGAAUUUCCUGUGUAGCGGUGAAAUGCGUAGAUAUAGGAAGGAACACCAGUGGCGAAGGCGACUACCUGGACUGAUACUGACACUGAGGUGCGAAAGCGUGGGGAGCAAAUAGGAUUAGAUACCCUGGUAGUCCACGCCGUAAACGAUGUCAACUAGCCGUUGGGAGUCUUGAACUCUUAGUGGCGCAGCUAACGCAUUAAGUUGACCGCCUGGGGAGUACGGCCGCAAGGUUAAAACUCAAAUGAAUUGACGGGGGCCCGCACAAGCGGUGGAGCAUGUGGUUUAAUUCGAAGCAACGCGAAGAACCUUACCAGGCCUUGACAUCCAAUGAACUUUCUAGAGAUAGAUUGGUGCCUUCGGGAACAUUGAGACAGGUGCUGCAUGGCUGUCGUCAGCUCGUGUCGUGAGAUGUUGGGUUAAGUCCCGUAACGAGCGCAACCCUUGUCCUUAGUUACCAGCACGUAAUGGUGGGCACUCUAAGGAGACUGCCGGUGACAAACCGGAGGAAGGUGGGGAUGACGUCAAGUCAUCAUGGCCCUUACGGCCUGGGCUACACACGUGCUACAAUGGUCGGUACAAAGGGUUGCCAAGCCGCGAGGUGGAGCUAAUCCCAUAAAACCGAUCGUAGUCCGGAUCGCAGUCUGCAACUCGACUGCGUGAAGUCGGAAUCGCUAGUAAUCGUGAAUCAGAAUGUCACGGCGAAUACGUUCCCGGGCCU
rnacentral:rRNA from 1 species